rnacentral:lncRNA from 1 species
AAUGGUAUGUCGAGCUCAAGCAGCAAUUAAUGGCAGUACAUGUACAUAUGAAGCUAGCGCUAGCUGGCUCACCAAGCGCCCAAAUUAACUAAUCAACCCGUAAAACCCCCCACGCACUGCAUUGCUGACGCAGAUGCAGGCCCCCUUAAUCUACCCCCAUUUCAUUAAUCCUAUCAGUAAUCAUGCUACUGCUAAUGACACAAUCAGAGUAGGGUACCAGUACUAUGUACAGAGACCAAUACAAAGGAACCUAGGAUUAAUUAAUU